rnacentral:rRNA from 1 species
GAUGAACGCUGGCGGCGUGCUUAACACAUGCAAGUCGAACGGGGUUAUUAAGAAGGAAUACCGGAUUAAUAACCUAGUGGCGGACGGGUGAGUAACGCGUGGAUAACCUGCCUUACACAGGGGGAUAACAACGAGAAAUCGUUGCUAAUACCGCAUAAGUGUGAUUUUCGCAUGAAGAUUACAUAAAAGCUCCGGCGGUGUAAGAUGGAUCCGCGUCUGAUUAGCUAGUUGGUGAGAUAACAGCCCACCAAGGCGACGAUCAGUAGCCGGCUUGAGAGAGUGGACGGCCACACUGGGACUGAGACACGGCCCAGACUCCUACGGGAGGCAGCAGUGGGGAAUAUUGCACAAUGGGGGAAACCCUGAUGCAGCGACGCCGCGUGAAGGAAGAAGGUCUUCGGAUCGUAAACUUCUAAUCAGCAGGGAAGAAGAAAGUGACUGUACCUGACUAAGAAGCCCCGGUAACUACGUGCCAGCAGCCGCGGUAAUACCAUACUCG